rnacentral:misc_RNA from 1 species
GAUGAAGAACGCAGCGAAAUGCGAUAAGUAAUGUGAAUUGCAGAAUUCAGUGAAUCAUCGAAUCUUUGAACGCACAUUGCGCCCCCUGGUAUUCCGGGGGGCAUGCCUGUCCGAGCGUCAUUACAACCCUCAAGCUCAGCUUGGUAUUGGGCCCCGCCGCUCCGGCGGGCCCUAAAGUCAGUGGCGGUGCCGUCCGGCUCCGAGCGUAGUAAUUCUUCUCGCUCUGGACGUGCUGCGUGUUCCGGCCGUUAAACACCUUAUUUACCCAAGGUUGACCUCGGAUCAGGUAGGAAGACCCGCUGAACUUAAGCAUAUCAAUAAGCGGAGGA